CUACCCCUGGGAAGGUGAAUGAGAAGCCAGGAGAAGUCAGGGGGCGUGGCUGGCCAUUGACCACCCUUGCGCUGUUCCCCUUCAGGCGGUCAAGAAGGAAAAAGAUGCACACAGAUCCUUGGAAAUGCAAAUGCAAAACACAAGAAGGCACCACGAAAGUACAGCCUUUGAAAAGCCAGUCGAAGGUGGCCUGCUCUCCCCGACCACUGAAUUCCUCAGCUUGGUCCACCAGAGCCUCCUUGACUGCCUCCUGUCCGCACAGCACCACAACUCGGCGAGGUCCCAGGUGGAUGGUGAAUACAGGACCGUAACGUUGGCUGAUCUGAUGGAGGAGAAUGAUCAGAGAAGGACAACAGUGGCUCCCUCCAGAUGUACCUGAAACCUAUACAAAGACAUGGGCUCUCGCUGAACCCAGAGCUCACCGAUUUGGCUAGCCUGUGUGGCUAAUGAGGCUCAGGGAUCCUCCUGAAUCCAUGCCUCUCCACCCCAGCAUGGCGAGGUGAAUAGGAAGGUAGGGAUUACAAGUGUGUGUGACACCGUGCCUGGUUUUUGAUGUAGGCGCAGGGACCCCCAUGCUUGUACUCCAUACACUUUACCUACUGGGUUGGUUCCUCAGCGUCUCUCCUUCUGUUUUAAAUCAAGAUGAAAUAACACAUGAAUCGAACAUCUAUAGAGAAGCGCAGUGGCGUUUCAUGCAUUCAUGGUGUUCUACAACAAACACCACUGUCCAAAGUCAAUACAUUUCCAAUGGAAAUCUUAAGUAACCUAAGGCAGAGGCAACUUACUUUGGGGUCUACACUAAUGGGUGUUUUGUCUGGAACUGGCCUCUGUGUCUUUAAGUCCCAUGCCUGUGGUAACGGUGUCUGUCUGCUGUCUGAGGUUUGAUUUUGUUGUUCUUUGUUUUCAUUUUUUUUUUUUUACGAAGCAUCAGAAAAUUGUCCCCAAACACCUAUGAUUCUUAAACUCAUACCCCAUUGCCAUAAAACCCAAACAAAACCCUCCAGAAUCCGACAAAAACAAGCCCAAGAUAGCUGGGCAGGAGAGAUAUUUGACCUUUAUCAACCUUUAUGUUCUUUGGUUCAUUAGCCAAUCACGAGCUGAUCAACACGGGUACACCGCCGCCCCGCCCCCCCAGUAGCCAGGUGGUGAGUGAGCCUGGAGAACAAAAGGUUGCAGUCAGGGAAGGAAAAGGUUUGCAUCUUAGAUUUCACGGUUGUGACAAGGAUUAGAGAAGAGUUUGGGGAGUGUUGGCUGAAACAGUGUGAAAGGGAGAAACAGAAGAGGGAUAAAAAGUCAAGCUUCUUCUGCCUGGUUGUUUACUCUGGACCGCAGGAGUGCUCCACCAGGAUAACAACAGGGCCUUAGUGUGUUCCCCACCAGGAAAACAGCAGGGCCCUGGAGUGCUCCCCAGCGGGAAAAGCAGAGACAGGUUUGAUGGAUGCGUAGGACGGAAACAGCCUGGAAGAAGGACGGAUUUUUAUUUAUUUUCUUUACACCCCCAGUGAUGUUCAAAAGUAUAACCUACUCACACGCACGCCCAUGCAUGGCAGAUGGCAAACUGUUAGCAAGAAGACCAUCGGUGCAUAGAGAUGCGUCUUAUUUCAUGCAGUUGUUUCUGGCAUUUUCUCAGCUUCCUGUAAGGAACCCGUAGCAUACUGGGGAAGACACGGGGAUUAUUAUUUUAAAAAGACCUUAUUGUUGUCAAAGGAAACCAAGUCCAAAGUGUGUAUAUUUCUCCUUCACUGUCAAAAGGAAGGAGGCUGUGUCCCUAGUUGGUUCUGUGAGUUCAGAAUGCUGCUCACCUAUCCCGUUCCUCCUCCUUUGUUUUCUUCUUCUUCUUCUUCUUCUUCUUCUUCUUCUUCUUCUUCUUCUUCUUCUUCUUCUUCUUCUUCUUCUUCUUCUUCUUCUUCUUCUUCUUCUUCUUCUUCUUCUUCUCCUCCUCCUCCUCCUCCUCCUCCUCCUCCUCCUCCUCCUCCUCCUCCUCUUCCUCCUCCUCCUUCUUCUUUGAGCUGGCUGUUAAACUUUAGCACCUUUUAUCUGAGGACUGCCUAAGUGGUUUUACAUAUAUGAUUCUCCACCAGCUGGAGGUGACGCCCCACCUGCUUUGGCAGUCUUCCUCUCUGCUUUAAUUUUUACGGUCCCUUCAGCUCUCAGGUUUUCCCCUACCCCCACUUUUUCUCUUACUUUUCAGAUUAUAAUAUAAUUACAUCAUUUCCUCCCACUCCCUUUCCUCCAUCCAAGCACACCCAAACAUCACGGUGCUCUCUUUCAAAUUCACAUCCUCUUUUUUCAUUAAUUAUUAUAUAUAUGUAUAUAUAAUAUACACACAUAUUAUAUAUAUUCAUAUAGCACUACUGAGGCUGCUUGUCUUUGUCACUGUAGUCAGCACCUUCCCUGGGAGCUGAGAUCUUCUAUGGCACACCCACUCCUUGACAUAGGACUGGGAAGCACCCAAGACGCCAAGACUUUUGAUGUCGUGUGUGUGUGUGUGUGUGUGUGUGUGUGUGUGUGUUUAGUGCUCUAUCUGCAUGUACACCUGCAUGCCAGAAGACAGCAUCAGAUCACAUUGUAAGUGGCUGUGAGCCACCAUGGGAAUUGAACUCAGGACCUCUGGAAGAACAGUGCUCUUAACUGCUGAGCCAUCGCUCCAGCCCCGUGCCUUAUGUUUUUAAAAUGACAUUUGACACAUUUUCUAGUGUUAAGACGCAAAAUCGAUAUAAUUAUCAUAUAUCAAAACAGUUGCAUUGUAGCACUUUCAUAUACACUUUGUAUUGGCUGUGCCUCUGUUGUUACUCCCCCACCGCUAUGCCCCACCCACUCCCAUGGUCCUCUUCUUCAAUGUCACAUGCAUUCUACUAUCUCCUCCCACUUAAGACCUUUUUUAAAUCGACAAAUAACAACUGGAUAUAUUUAAGGCAUACAACACCAUGUUUUGAUAUGUUAUAUAUUGUAGAAUGGCUCAAUCAGGGUAAUUAGAAUAAUGCAUAUGUAUUGUAUUACAUAGGAUUUUGUGUGAGAACACUCAGAAUCUCUCAGGAGUAGUCUAGAACACGAUACCUUAUUAUUAACUACUGCCUUCAUGCUGUACAAUAGAACUGUUUAUUUCUCCUGCCUAACUGAUAUUCCCAUCUGUUGAACGACACCGCUCCUGUCCCAGCCUCUGUCAUCCUGUUUUUUUUUUUCCCCCCUGUGGGGUCAGAUUUCUAAGUCUGUCCAUGUAUGUGAGAUUAUGUGAUGUUUGUCUUUUGAACAUAAUUUUUUUUAUGAGGAUGAAGAUGUUGCAAAUACUCUAAGGGAAUUUCCAUAUCAGGCAGUGGUUGAGUGCAUUCUGGUUGAAUCAAGCGAACAAUAACUACACACUAUGAAAAAGGACUUUAAAAUCUUCACCAGUUGACUGAAUUUUCUAGUAACAGAAAAAGCAGAUAGUGAAAGAGUUGGGUGAAGGAACUUCCUCACUUUUGCUUUUGGUUGGUUUUGUUCUAAGGGCAGGCCAUGAGUGGCACCUUUUGGGAUGGCAGAAACCCAGAUAGAAACUUUGUUUUUUCUUAAAUUUCUAGAUCCAGGCAACUGAAGACAUUGUGGUUGACUACAGCACUGGUUGAUAGUGGGGGUUGAAACUCUAUAAAGAAAGAGUCAGAGAAAAUGAGACAUGACCACAUCCUAUGCAUAAAUUUGGACCAAAUUUCUAACUGAUUGUUAAGGUACUAAUGAACUGGAAAACUUACAGCUAGGACUAAAAGCACCGAGGCUAAAUUUCAGUGCUAGGGGUUUUGCUUUAGCUAUGUUAACUGCUUUCUAAAGAAAAAAUGGUGAAUCAAUGCCGCGCCUGUAGCAGAGAUAACCGAGCUCCGGGGCAGACAUGACGCCUGAGUGGGAGCCGGUUCGAGGGUUCGCACCACACGUGGUUAAGCCCCCUGCUUGCAUGCGGCGGACUCCAAGAAGAUGUGCACCUGGACUUGCCCCCUGUUGUAAACUUGUCUCUGGGCUGAUGGGCAUCUGGGUCAUGGGAAAGAUCGUUGUCAGCACUUAUUUCUUUAUUUUUUCUUUGUUUGAUUUUGAAUAUGAUCUUGGCAAGACGGAGACUUCCUUUAAUAAUAGGACAGAAGGUCGUGAUCUAUUUUUGAUCACUAAUACCACAAGCUUUCCUGUUUCCUCUUUACAGCAGACAGAGCCUCUGAUGACAGGGACUCCAAGGUUGCAGAUUAUGUCUUCUCUUAUAGAUAAGGAAAUAUAAGAUUUAGCAAAGAAUUAUACAUAUAAGGAUAGUGAUGCUUCUUCUAUUAGGUGUUGGUAGAACUGUUGAGAAAUGAUUCCUUGAGCUUUGGGUCGGCUAUGAAUAUUUUACAGAGUAUAGAAACAGGUGGUGGCAACCAGGUACUUACAGGGGACCAUAUGUGCAUCGACCAACGGAUGCUCCAUUACCAUAUACUGGAGAAUAUGAUUUGAAUUUUGAUAGGUGGGUUACUAAGGAUGGAUAUAGGGUCAGGUAUUUGUCACUGCCUUGGUCAGAAAGGUUGGCAAGAGCCCGUCCUCCUUGGUGUGUGCUCUCAGAAGAAGAGAAAUGGGAGGUAAGGUCACAGAUCAUCAGAUACUUUAGACAGGGAUCAGGCAUGCAAUAUUAUUGCCCCAAGCCUUGGAUGUACAUCUACAGGACUAACAAAGAUGGGAUCAAAGGGUUAACUAGAGCGAUAGAACUAGAUGCACAGACCUGAUGGCGUAAGAUAUGCCAGACUUGCGGUCCCCUGAAACUUCCUCCUUGAUGUGACAAACGGAAAACUAGACUAGGCUGGCUGACUGUGGCUCGUCUGAAAAAAAAGCAAGCUAUACCUUUUUGCAGAAAAAUCAAAUGUUCUUGGCCAUGGUCCAAGAUUGUUAUACAAUGAAAAUUGUGUAUAAAUGUCUGAUGCUCUCUCAGUAAAGUUACAACAGCUGACCACA